CAAAGUGCUGUACAGAAACCCAGCCUAAAACCCCAAACAAUGCAUGUGUCGAAGCACGAUGGCUCGGAAAAACUCCCUAGAAAGGCCGGAACCAAGGAAGAAACCAAGAGAGGAACCAGGCUCUGAGGGGGUCCUCUUCUGGCUGUGGAAUGUUUCUGAAGAAUUGUAUGUAUUAAGACUGCAGGGGCUAACCAGAGCCAAAUCCACCACUAAUGCAUUAGCUGAAGGCUUCAAAUAUGCAUCCUCUUGCAAACCCGAACAACUGAGUGCCAUCAACUAAAAUGUGUCUUCCGCAUUUAACCCAACCCCUCUGAAGGUGUGGGGGCUGCCUUAAUCGACAUCCAGCCAUCCAGGAACAAUGGGUUAACUGCCUUGCUCAGGGGCAGAACCACAGAUUUUUACCUUGUCAGCUCGGGGAUUCGAUCCAGCAACCUUUCGGGUAACUGGCCCAACGCUCUAACCACUAGGCUACCUGCCACAUGAGAUUAAGAUCAGAAACCAUUGUCCAUGUUAUUUUAGAGCAAACUCAUUUACACAUGCUGGAUAUGACACGUGUGAAACAAACGACCCUACAAUAAUCAUACGUGUGGGAAAGUAAUCUCAUCAAAAUAAAUCUCUGGAUGAAGCAUGAGCAAUAAUCCAAUUCACAAGAUGACAUACUGGCACGUUUGCAAGCAGAUGGCACAUCAAGUAACAGCUAAAAGGAGCGAUCAUUUAUUUAAAGUUAUCCGCUUUACUUGACGCUAAUCCAAAGCGCUAGCUAGCCUAGCAAGGGAGGCCGCUAGUGCGUCUCUUCUCACAGCUCACCACCCGAAACCUGUCGAAAUGAGUUCAUCAAAUCAGGUCUUCAAACUGCACAGUUGAGAGCAUCCUGUCGGGCUGUAUCAUCGCAUGGUAUGGCAACUGCAAUGCCCGCAACCGCAGUGCUCUCCAGAGGGUGGUGUGGUCUGCCCAACAAAUCACCGGUGGCAAACUACCUGCCUUCUAGGACACCUACAGCACCCGAUGUCACAGGAAGGCCAAAAAGAUCUUCAAGGACAUCAACCACCUGAACCACGGCCUGUUCACUGUUAUCCAGAAGGAGAGAUAAUACUGCACUGGUGGAGCUAGGAACACAAGCAUUUCGCUACACCUGCACUAACAUCUGCUAAAUAUGUGUAUGUGACCAAUAACAUUUGAUUUGAAAAGGUACAGUAUGUUACUCACUCUGUGAAACCAACCUGUUGCAACUCAAACCUCAUGGUGAUAAAAUAAAUAAUACAAUGAAUGUAACUGUCCAUCAA
rnacentral:lncRNA from 1 species